GACGAACCGUGCGAACGUUGUUCGGAAUCACUGGGCUUAAAGGGCGCGUAGGCGGGUCAGCCAGUCCGGGGUGAAAUCCUUCGGCUUAACCGGAGAACUGCCUCGGAGACGACUGAUCUGGAGGGAGGUAGGGGCGGCCGGAACUUCCGGUGGAGCGGUGAAAUGCGUUGAUAUCGGAAGGAACGCCGGUGGCGAAAGCGGGCCGCUGGACCUCUACUGACGCUGAGGCGCGAAAGCUAGGGGAGCAAACGGG
rnacentral:rRNA from 1 species